ACACAGCGAGACAAAGUCUCAAAAAAAAGGAAAAAAAAAGUAGAAUUCCAUUUCUAGAAAAUAGGAUGUAAAAAUCCAGUUGUAGAAAACAAUUGCAUUUAGUGGGUGAUAUUUUAACCAGGGCUGUUAUUAUGGAUUCCUUUCUAUAUGAUCUGUUCUGUGGUGAACAGAUCUUUGCAAACCUACCCUCAAAAGGCAAGGAACCUGAGGGGCAGAAGAAAGAGGCUGACAAAUCCAGUAUAUCAGAAAGAAACGUAAAUAUUACAAUAGGGACUUACCAACAGAAGCCCUAGUCUUGGAUAGCUGUCAGGAAAGAUGGUGGAUCUCUACACUAUCAUCCCCCAGACCCAGGACUCAUAUACCAUAGGGAAGGAAUGUGUAGGACAAUUGUAGGGAAAGGCAAGAAUGCUAUAGGUAUUUGCCUAAGGGCAGGAUUUACAGUAACGGUAGAUAAAGUAGAAAUCUUAGAGAGUUUCCUGGAAUGGGGAAUAACCAGAAAUUAACAUGGUGAAUUAGCAUCUAAGAUGGAGCUGUGGCCUUCACAUGAUCUUUCUUAGAGAAAUGUAAAACAUAAUUCAAUUUUCAAAAAAUAUUUACUAUCAUGUUCUUGAGUCUACCUAUUGAGUAGUGUGAAAUAGAUAUUGAAACACCUGUUCAAAUGGAAAAUUCCAGUCUGAAAUAUGAUUCUCUGUGCUUAUUGUUCCAAAUAUAUAGUAAUAAUAUCACUCCUGGGAUGGGGGAUUCUGACUUGACUCAUACUUCCUUCUCUGGUAGAAAAGUUGCAUGUGAUCUGAAAGCACAGAGGCCCCUGCAGGCUCGGAGUUUGAACUAGGAGGCCACAUGAACAUGUUGGUCGGACCUCAGUCUCUCCUAAAGCUCUGUCUCACAUGUGCCCUCAAUCAAGUCCUCUGAUCUUUUCCUAUCUGUCCACCUCAGCUGUCCAUCCACAGGAAGGAGGCAGCUGGCCACAGUGGCUGCAGCUGGCACCCAUUGUGAGAACUUUGCUGCAUUGGGAGAGUGGCCAUGUGCUUCCUUGCUGGCGUCCAUCCUUGACCCACAGCUCACCAUUGCUGCACAGACGUUGUGAUGCAAGCCAUGAUUCCACUGGCCACAUCCUCCAAAAACGUUUUCAUUAGGAGUUUUUUUUUUUUUUUUUUUUUUUUUAAGGCAACACAUUGACAUUGAGGUUGUGAAGACUGUGAUGGCAGCAGUGAGGAAGAUGAUGAAAGCGAGAGCAUGAUACCAUCAAGGACAUAGGUGAACACAGUGUCUUUCAUAUGGACACUCACUUCCUCAGCUACCCCGGUGAAGGAUCCACCACCAGUGCCAUGCCAGCCUGCCCUGGUUUGCUUCAUCACAUCCAGCACCUGGCCAUACCUCUGGACUCUGGAGUCACAUCCUGUCCGUUAGACUCUCAAGCUUGAAUACAGUCUCGAAGGCUGAGAGAUAGGAACUGUUAUGAUAAUUGAGGCCCAUAGAGAUGAAGUUAUAUGCCCGAGGUCACAAAACUAAGUCACGAAGACGCUAGAUUGCAAAUCACUAGAGGACAGAAACAAGAUUCUAUAGUUCUCUUGGAAUGGUGCCUCAGUACCGUGGUCACCUGUGUGUUUCUCCU